ensembl:snoRNA SNORD38A small nucleolar RNA, C/D box 38A
UUUCUGUGAUGAUAACUUUGUCCAGUUCUGCUACUGAAUAUAAGAGAUGAAUUUUAAGACUCUGAGAAA